AAUUGAGCACUUAACCAUAAAUAUUUUAAAUACUAAAUUUAGUUCAACAUUACUUGAUAUUUAGUAUAAACUGACAUUGACAUUGCAGAUAUAAUAUUUCAUAGUGCAUGUGAUCUAUAAACUUGUACUGGGAGCACUAGACAUGUACCAAGGUUUUUUAUGUAUCUUUAGAAAAUUCAUCAUGUCAUGACCCAUAUUCGGGAAUCUGGCUAACAUUAGAAAUCCUCAGUUAUUUGAUGAAGUUUUUCAAAUCUUGAUAUGAUCAACAAGGGAAAAAAUCAAGACAAAAGAGAGUAAUUCAGAGGUGACCUAGAAGUCUCCUGAGAUUCAUCAAAAACCAACAUUCACACACACAAGGCUCAAGAUCUGGGGCAGCCUGAAAGACUGGCAUUUGGUCAUAGUCCCCUGAUGGAGGAAAGUGUACUGUGAAUGUGAUGAGGAAAGAGAUAUUCAAUAUGGAUCUCCUUAUCCUCCCUUCUACAGCCUGAAGUCCCUUCUACAGUAUGGACAUAUAGUUAUACGUCUACAUCUGUGCAACACUGUAUCAGUCACAUGCCAUCAGUCUCCUCUGGGGCUCAUCCAGGGCACGUCAUGAAGAAGAAAAC
rnacentral:lncRNA from 1 species